rnacentral:rRNA from 1 species
GACGAACGCUGGCGGCGUGCUUAACACAUGCAAGUCGAGCGGUAAGGCCCUUUCGGGGGUACACGAGCGGCGAACGGGUGAGUAACACGUGGGUGACCUGCCCUCAGCUCUGGGAUAAGCCUGGGAAACCGGGUCUAAUACUGGAUAUGACUCCAUGACGCAUGUUGUGGGGUGGAAAGCCUUGUGCGGCUGAGGAUGGGCCCGCGGCCUAUCAGCUUGUUGGUGGGGUGANGGCCUACCAAGGCGACGACGGGUAGCCGGCCUGAGAGGGCGACCGGCCACACUGGGACUGAGACACGGCCCAGACUCCUACGGGAGGCAGCAGUGGGGAAUCUUGCGCAAUGGGCGAAAGCCUGACGCAGCGACGCCGCGUGAGGGAUGACGGCCUGGUUCGUAACGU